UCGAUACUUUCUUCGGAAACCAGGAGAUGAGGGUCGUUAUGUUGGGUCUAGAUGCGGCUGGGAAGACAACGAUACUGUACAAGCUCCACAUAGGAGAAGUUCUCUCAACUGUUCCCACAAUCGGUUUCAAUGUUGAGAAAGUUCAGUACAAGAAUGUG